UCAGAUAAGGGGCAUGAGAAGCCUGGAAGGAUGAAGGGACCUGGUAUAUUCCAUAGAUAACAGCAGAGCUCGGCCGUGAACACUUGGAGGCUGUAUUUCUUAAAGACAAGGUUCCUGAUCUGUAACAUGAGGCCAGUCACUUGUGCCUUCUAGGCUUUGGGGAAGGACUGAAGAAAAUGAUGGAUUCUACAUCUGGGUGUAUUUUCAGCAUGUGGCACAGUGCCCAGUGUAUACUAUGUUCUGAGAUACUUGAUGGAAGACAUACAGAAUAUUAUGGCGAUGGCUGUGUAAUGCAGAAAGACAAUGACCUGCUCUCUCAAGGAACAAGUUUGCAAUUGAAAAUACAAAUGUAAGAGAGAUGAUUUCCCUUCCUGGUUUGGGAAUGAAGAUGGUGCUUCCGAGUGUCAGCUCACAGGUUCGUUGUGAACACUGGGUGUGAGAGGUGCCGAACUGGGUCAUCGGACCUGCUCAGUAAAUGAAAGCCGAUGGGAGCCACCCUCUUGUUUCUAGUAGAACUUGAUGCUUUGGACAGCCUUCACUGAAACACCCCAUCUUCCAUUGAAAUGAGGCUGCAUAUUCCUGAUAUAGUCAAUGAAUACAACACACCCAAAAUUCCAGGAAAA